GACGAACGCUGGCGGCGUGCUUAACACAUGCAAGUCGUACGGUAAGGCCCUUUCGGGGGUCCACGAGUGGCGAACGGGUGAGUAACACGUGAGUAACCUGCCCACAACUUUGGGAUAACGCUAGGAAACUGGUGCUAAUACUGGAUAUGUGCUCCUGCUGCAUGGUGGGGGUUGGAAAGCUCCGGCGGUUGUGGAUGGACUCGCGGCCUAUCAGCUUGUUGGUGGGGUAGUGGCCUACCAAGGCGGCGACGGGUAGCCGGCCUGAGAGGGUGACCGGCCACAUUGGGACUGAGAUACGGCCCAGACGCCUACGGGAGGCAGCAGUGGGGAAUAUUGCACAAUGGGCGCAAGCCUGAUGCAGCAACGCCGCGGGCGGGAGGACGGCCUUCGGGUUGUAAACCGCUUUCAGCAGGGACGAAGCUUUUUGUGACGGUACCUGCAGAAGAAGCACCGGCUAACUACGUG
rnacentral:rRNA from 1 species